rfam:Myotis brandtii contig278863, whole genome shotgun sequence.
GGUGGUUCUCAGGUGACGCACCCCAGAAUUGGGCUCCCUCCUCUCUCCUCCGGGUGCGUCACCCGAGAACCACA